UACGUAGGGUGCAAGCGUUAAUCGGAAUUACUGGGCGUAAAGCGUGCGCAGGCGGUUUUGUAAGUCUGACGUGAAAUCCCCGGGCUCAACCUGGGAAUUGCGUUGGAGACUGCCAGGCUAGAAUCUGGCAGAGGGGGGUAGAAUUCCACGUGUAGCAGUGAAAUGCGUAGAGAUGUGGAGGAACACCGAUGGCGAAGGCAGCCCCCUGGGUCAAGAUUGACGCUAAUGCACGAAAGCGUGGGGAGCAAACAGG
rnacentral:rRNA from 1 species